GACGAACGCUGGCGGCGUGCUUAACACAUGCAAGUCGAGCGGUAAGGCCCUUUCGGGGGUACACGAGCGGCGAACGGGUGAGUAACACGUGGGUGACCUGCCUCUAGCUCUGGGAUAAGCCCGGGAAACUGGGUCUAAUACUGGAUAUGACUCCAUGACGCAUGUUGUGGGGUGGAAAGCCUUGUGCGGCUAGAGAUGGGCCCGCGGCCUAUCAGCUUGUUGGNGGGGUGAUGGCCUACCAAGGCGACGACGGGUAGCCGGCCUGAGAGGGCGA
rnacentral:rRNA from 1 species